CCAUUACAUGAUGACGAUCUUCAAUCUUUUCUUCUUGCAGGACUCAACAGUGAAUAUGAUUCAUUUGUCACCUCAGUUACAACCUAGGUGGAUCCAAUCUCCAUUGAUGAGCUCUAUGGCCACCUUCUUGCUCAUGAAAU